ACUCCUGGUGAAAUCUUACAGGAGUUAAGGCAUGCAAUCUUAAUGAUGCAAAAGACAGCCACUUGAUUUUUCAGUAAACCAUACGUAGCGUUGAAAUUGCUUAGUCAGGAAUUGAAAUAGGUUUCUUUUUUCUGAACUGUUUUCGUGCACCAGUCUGAUUGUUGGGUGUUAUUACAGGACCGUGAAGUAGCAAGUUUAUUCAAAAUGGUUGGGGAAAAAGAUAUGAUGCCAAAAGUUAAUAUUGAAAAAGAUAUACCUGAAUCAAAAAAAGCCCAGAUAGAUUAUAUGAGAAAAAUAGAAAAAGAAAAUCUGGAAAGAGUCCGAGGUUUACAGAAGAUUCGACGUAGAAAUAUAUAUACAGGUUUUCUUCUCGGAGGCGCUGUAUUAGGAAUCUAUUUAUAUUCCAUAUUGGCUGUCAAGCAGGAAAAGUUUUUGGACGAGCUGGAUGACCCACAGACCAUGAAACAGUGACAAAAACCAUUGUGUAUAAACUGUUCUGUAUAGAUGAUCAGCUAUCAUCCUAUUGAUGUGAUGAUAAGAUGAAAACAAUGGUCAAUCGCUAUUUAUGUAACAAAGUAAUUCCAGCAUGUAAGCUUGGAUUGAUUUAGCUAGAAACCUCCAGUGACCUUUUAAAUAUGGGGAACAGAUAAUAUUUGUUGUAGGUUUAAUGUUCUGUAAACACUUGUUAAUAAAAUAAUUGUCAAAUUUGGAAA